rnacentral:rRNA from 1 species
UACAGAGGGGGCAAGCGUUGUUCGGAAUUACUGGGCGUAAAGGGCGCGUAGGCGGCCCGCUAAGUCGAACGUGAAAUCCCCGAGCUCAACUCGGGAACUGCGUCCGAUACUGGCGGGCUUGAAUCCGGGAGAGGGAUGCGGAAUUCCAGGUGUAGCGGUGAAAUGCGUAGAUAUCUGGAGGAACACCGGUGGCGAAGGCGGGUCUCUGGGCCGACAUUGACGCUGAGGAGCGAAAGCGUGGGGAGCGAACAGG